rnacentral:rRNA from 1 species
GGGGGGGGGGGGGGGGGGGGCGGGUGCGGGCGGGGCGGGCGGAGGGGCGGGGAGCGGGCGGCUGUGAGGUUGGGGGGGGACGGGGGGGUAACGCGUGGCUGUGCUCCCUCUAAGCCUGGGCUAACUUCGGGCAACCGUAGCUAAUCCCUGAUAAUCUUUUGAACCGCAUCGUUCACAAGUUCAAGACGGUCUUGCUGUCCAUUAUAUAUGGAUCCGCGCUGCAUUAGCUAGUUGGUAAGGUAACUGCUUACCAAGUCAACUAUGCAUAGCCGACCUGAGAGGGUGAUCGGCCACACUGGAACUGAGACACGGUCCAGACUCCUACGGGAGGCAGCAGUAGGGAAUCUUCCGCAAUGGGCGAAAGCCUGACGGAGCAACGCCGCGUGAGUGAUGAAGGUCUUCGGAUCGUAAAACUCUGUUAUUAGGGAAGAACAUAUGUGUAAGUAACUGUGCACAUCUUGACGGUACCUAAUCAGAAAGCCACGGCUAACUACGUG